rnacentral:rRNA from 1 species
AUUGAACGCUGGCGGCAGGCUUAACACAUGCAAGUCGAGCGGAGAUGAGGUGCUUGCACCUUAUCUUAGCGGCGGACGGGUGAGUAAUGCUUAGGAAUCUGCCUAUUAGUGGGGGACAACAUUCCGAAAGGAAUGCUAAUACCGCAUACGUCCUACGGGAGAAAGCAGGGGAUCUUCGGACCUUGCGCUAAUAGAUGAGCCUAAGUCGGAUUAGCUAGUUGGGGGGGUAAAGGCCUACCAAGGCGACGAUCUGUAGCGGGUCUGAGAGGAUGGCCCGCCACACUGGGACUGAGACACGGCCCAGACUCCUACGGGAGGCAGCAGUGGGGAAUAUUGGACAAUGGGGGGAACCCUGAUCCAGCCAUGCCGCGUGUGUGAAGAAGGCCUUAUGGUUGUAAAGCACUUUAAGCGAGGAGGAGGCUACUGAGACUAAUACUCUUGGAUAGUGGACGUUACUCGCAGAAUAAGCACCGGCUAACUCUGUGCCAGCCGCCGCGGUAA